GACGAACGCUGGCGGCGUGCCUAAUACAUGCAAGUCGAACGCAGUGGGGACGGGUGAGUAACACGUGGGUAACCUGCCAGAAGAGGGGGGAACACUUGGAAACAGGUGCUAAACCGAUACUGAUGGAUGGACCAGCGGUGGAUUAGCUCGUUGGUGAGGUAACGGCUCACCAAGGCCACGAUGACUAGCCGACCUGAGAGGGUGAUCAGCCACACUGGGACUGAGACACGGCCCAGACUCCUACGGGAGGCAGCAGUAGGGAAUCUUCGACAAUGGACGAAAGUCUGACCGAGCAACGCCGCGUGAGUGAAGAAGGUUUUCGGAUCGUAAAACUCUGUCGUUAGAGAAGCGGUAUCUGACCAAAAAGCAACGGCUAACUACGUGCCAGCCGCCGCGGUAAUUC
rnacentral:rRNA from 1 species